GACGAACGCUGGCGGCGCGCUUAACACAUGCAAGUCGAACGGAAAGGCCUGCUUUCCCUUGUGGAUUGCGGGUACUCGAGUGGCGAACGGGUGAGUAACACGUGAGUGAUCUGCCCCCAACUUGGGUAUAAGCCUGGGAAACUGGGUCUAAUUCCCGAUAGGACUGCAGGGUGGUGCCUGUGGUGGAAAACGAUUUUCUAGUGGUUGGGGAUGAGCUCGCGGCCUAUCAGCUUGUUGGUGGGGUAAUGGCCUACCAAGGCGGCGACGGGUAGCCGGCCUGAGAGGGUGGACGGCCACAUUGGGACUGAGAUACGGCCCAGACUCCUACGGGAGGCCGCAGUGGGGAAUAUUACACAAUGGGCGGAAGCCUGAUGCAGCGACGCCGCGUGGGGGAUGACGGCCUUCGGGCUGUAAACUCCUUUCGACCGCGAGGAAGCCACCUGGUUGGAAGGGUGGUGACGGUAGUGGUAGAAGAAGCACCGGCUAACUACGUG
rnacentral:rRNA from 1 species